CCUACGGGAGGCAGCAGUGAGGAAUAUUGGUCAAUGGGCGGGAGCCUGAACCAGCCAAGUCGCGUGAGGGAAGACGGUCCUAUGGAUUGUAAACCUCUUUAGGUGGGGAGCAAUGCCGGGCACGUGUGCCCGGAGGGAGAGUACCCGCAGAAUAAGCAUCGGCUAACUCCGUGCCAGCAGCCGCGGUAAUACGGAGGAUGCGAGCGUUAUCCGGAUUGAUUGGGUUUAAGGGGUGCGUAGGCGGAUUUUUAAGUCAGCGGUAAAAUGUCCGGGCUCAACCCGGGCGGGCCGUUGAAACUGGGGAUCUUGAGUGGGCGAGAAGUAUGCGGAAUGCGUGGUGUAGCGGUGAAAUGCAUAGAUAUCACGCAGAACUCCGAUUGCGAAGGCAGCAUACCGGCGCCCGACUGACGCUGAGGCACGAAAGAGUGGGGAUCGAACAGGAUUAGAUACCCUUGUAGUC
rnacentral:rRNA from 1 species